GGUAGGUUAUCCAAGUGGCUAAAGGGUGCAGACUGUAAAUCUGUCGGCUAACGCCUUCAAUGGUUCGAAUCCAUUACCUACCACCA
rnacentral:tRNA from 2 species